rnacentral:rRNA from 1 species
GAUGAACGCUAGCGGCAGGCUUAAUACAUGCAAGUCGAGGGGCAGCGCAGUGUAGCAAUACAUGGGCGGCGACCGGCAAACGGGUGCGGAACACGUACAGAACCUUCCUUUAAGUGGUGAAUAGCCCAGAGAAAUUCGGAUUAAUACACCGUAACAUAUAGAUGUGGCAUCAUAUUUAUAUUAUAGCUCCGGCGCUUAAAGAUGGCUGUGCGGCUGAUUAGGUAGUUGGCGGGGUAACGGCCCACCAAGCCUGCGAUCAGUAACUGGUGUGAGAGAACGACCGGUCACACGGGAACUGAGACACGGGCCCGACUCCUACGGGAGGCAGCAGUAAGGAAUAUUGGUCAAUGGACGCAAGUCUGAACCAGCCAUGCCGCGUGGAGGAUGAAGGUCCUCUGGAUUGUAAACUUCUUUUCUCUGGGGCGAAAAACAGGUUUUCUAACUUGCUUGACAGUACCAGAGGAAUAAGCACCGGCUAACUCCGUGCCAGCAGCCGCCGUAAUAC